rnacentral:rRNA from 1 species
GACCUGCGGAGGGAUCAUUACAAGUGACCCCGGUCUAACCACCGGGAUGUUCAUAACCCUUUGUUGUCCGACUCUGUUGCCUCCGGGGCGACCCUGCCUUCGGGCGGGGGCUCCGGGUGGACACUUCAAACUCUUGCGUAACUUUGCAGUCUGAGUAAACUUAAUUAAUAAAUUAAAACUUUUAACAACGGAUCUCUUGGUUCUGGCAUCGAUGAAGAACGCAGCGAAAUGCGAUAAGUAAUGUGAAUUGCAGAAUUCAGUGAAUCAUCGAAUCUUUGAACGCACAUUGCGCCCCCUGGUAUUCUGGGGGGCAUGCCUGUUCGAGCGUCAUUUCACCACUCAAGCCUCGCUUGGUAUUGGGCAACGCGGUCCGCCGCGUGCCUCAAAUCGACCGGCUGGGUCUUCUGUCCCCUAAGCGUUGUGGAAACUAUUCGCUAAAGGGUGUUCGGGAGGCUACGCCGUAAAACAACCCCAUUUCUAAGGUUGACCUCGGAUCAGGUAGGGAUACCCGCUGAACUUAAGCAUAUCAAUAAGCGGAGGA